rnacentral:tRNA from 2 species
GCGCCUUUAGCUCAGCUGGAUAGAGCAACGGCCUUCUAAGCCGUGUGUCGGGAGUUCGAAUCUCUCAAGGCGCACCA